UACGAAGGGGGCUAGCGUUGCUCGGAAUUACUGGGCGUAAAGGGAGCGUAGGCGGGUUAUCAAGUUGGAGGUGAAAGCCCAGGGCUCAACCUUGGAAUUGCCUUCAAAACUGAUAGCCUAGAGUAUGAUAGAGGUAUGUGGAACUCCGAGUGUAGAGGUGAAAUUCGUAGAUAUUCGGAAGAACACCAGUGGCGAAGGCGACUUACUGGACACAUAUUGACGCUGAGGUGCGAAAGCGUGGGGAGCAAACAGG
rnacentral:rRNA from 1 species